GCCGGAAUUGCUAGUAAUGGCAGGUCAGCAUACUGCCGUGAAUACGUUCCCGGGCCUUGUACACACCGCCCGUCACACCAUGAGAGUUGGGGAUACCCGAAGCCUGUGAGCUAACUAUUUAUAGGAGCAGCAGUCGAAGGUAGAAUCAAUGAUUGGGGUGAAGUCGUAACAAGGUACC
rnacentral:rRNA from 1 species